AGCGUUGUUCGGAAUCACUGGGCGUAAAGGGCGUGUAGGCGGGAAGGAAAGUCAGAUGUGAAAUCCCCAGGCUCAACCUGGGAACUGCAUUUGAAACUCCCUUUCUUGAGUACCGGAGAGGAAAGUGGAAUUCCUGGUGUAGAGGUGAAAUUCGUAGAUAUCAGGAGGAACACCAGUGGCGAAGGCGGCUUUCUGGACGGUAACUGACGCUGAGACGCGAAAGCGUGGGGAGCAAACAGG
rnacentral:rRNA from 1 species